rnacentral:rRNA from 1 species
UCAGGAUGAACGCUGGCGGCAGGCUUAAUACAUGCAAGUUGAGCGGUAACAUGUGUAGCAAUACGAUGAUGACGAGUGGCGCACGGGUGCGUAACACGUGUGUAACCUACCUUAUACAGGAACAUAACGUUGAGAAAUCGGCGCUAACAUUCCAUAAUAGUUAUUUGUAGGCAUCUAUGAAUAAUUAAAACUCCGGUGGUAUAAGAUGGGCACGCGUUCCAUUAGCUAGUUGGUAAGGUAACGGCUUACCAAGGCAACGAUGGAUAGGGGUUCUGAGAGGAUAAUCCCCCACACUGGAACUGAGACACGGUCCAGACUCCUACGGGAGGCAGCAGUAAGGAAUAUUGGGCAAUGGAGGCAACUCUGACCCAGCCAUGCCGCGUGCAGGAAGACGGCCCUAUGGGUUGUAAACUGCUUUUAAUAGGGAUUAAAGUCGACUACGUGUAGUUGUUUGCAAGUACCUAUAGAAUAAGCAUCGGCUAACUCCGUGCCAGCCGCUGC